CACAGGUGUGCGUUAAUGAGGCGGGCCAGUAUAAAAGCGACAGUCCUUCCCUGCUUCUUUCUUUGCGUCCUGUCAUCACCGGCGCGUCACUUCCGGGUCGGAGGUCGUUUGGCCCGUCAGGUAUGUCCGCGUGCUGCUUUGUGUUUUCUUACUGCUCUUAAGGCGUCGUUGUUGUUCUUGUGUUGCAGGGCGACUGCUCGUGUGCGGCUCCGUUUGUUGGCUGAGGUAAACGCCGGUGGCUGCCAGGAGUCCUGUCCCUUUGUCCGCUCCUGCCUCCUGUUGUGUGAGGGUGUGUGUCCGCUAACAAGGUAGACUGCUGCUCCACCUCCACUGCAAGUGCUCCCAGCUGAACUUGAUUGUGCAGCGGUGUCACCUGUUUAUUUGUCCGCGGUCUGGGCGGGGCGCUCGUUUGGUGUUUUUGCGCUGGUUGGCACCGAACGGUGAUUUGUGUGGCAAGUUAAGGUGCCGCUAUGCCGGGCAGGUAGUGUUGCUCCACCGUCAUUGGUCCCACCUGUGCAGCGCUGUCACCGAACGGUGAUUUGUAUGGGCAGGAGUGGCAGAUGUCUUUAGUGGUUUCCCUUGUGGUUGGUACUCUACUGUAUGUAACUUCAGUUUAUUUUGUCCCUUAAGGUCUUCAAUAAAUAACUGAACUCUAAAUCUGUGUGACUUCAUUGUGGCAA